GGGGAUGAAAUGGCUUCGACAGAGAUCGGAAACCUGAAGUUCAUGCCGAGCAAAUUCUAGUCCGCUCGUAAAAAAGUCUGGAAACUUAAAGUAAUUGCAAACGAUGAUAAUUACGCUCUAGCUGCUUAAACCCGGCUAGCUUUUGACUACCUUUAUCUGUGGGGGUUACUCAGAAGUCACUUAACACAGCUUUCGCCAGCCAUUCAGUCCGAGUUUAGCUGGUUAAAACGAAACGGACUCGUGAGCUUUUGUCCUGGCUACCCGCCAACUGCUCAUUAAAACUACCGGUAGUACUAAGCAUGUAACAGACCGAUGGCAGAAAGUUUUUGGACGCGGGUUCGACUCCCGCCAUCUCCACCA
rnacentral:tmRNA from 1 species